rnacentral:rRNA from 1 species
UGAGGAAUAUUGGGCAAUGCCCGCAAGGGUGACCCAGCAACGCCGCGUGGAGGAUGAAUGUCGUAAGAUUGUAAACUCCUGUUAGAGGGGAAGAAUAGUACCGGUUGGACCGGUAUAUGACUGUACCCUCAGAGAAAGCCCCGGCUAACUACGUGCCAGCAGCCGCGGUAAUACGUAGGGGGCAAGCGUUGUCCGGAUUUACUGGAUGUAAAGGGCGCGCAGGCGGGAUAAAAAGUCAGUGGUGAAAUCCUACAGCUUAACUGUAGAACGGCCUUUGAUACUUUUAUUCUUGAGUUCGGGAGAGAGAGACGGAAUUCCAGGUGGAGUGGUGAAAUACGUAGAUAUCUGGAAGAACACCAGUUGCGAAGGCGGUCUCUUGGUCCGACACUGACGCUGAGGCGCGAAAGCGUGGGGAGCAAACA